AGAACGAACGCUGGCGGCAUGCCUAAUACAUGCAAGUCGAACGAACUCUUCGGAGUUAGUGGCGCACGGGUGCGUAACGCGUGGGAAUCUGCCCCUUGGUUCGGAAUAACAGUUGGAAACGACUGCUAAUACCGGAUGAUGACGAAAGUCCAAAGAUUUAUCGCCCAGGGAUGAGCCCGCGUAGGAUUAGCUAGUUGGUGAGGUAAAGGCUCACCAAGGCGACGAUCCUUAGCUGGUCUGAGAGGAUGAUCAGCCACACUGGGACUGAGACACGGCCCAGACUCCUACGGGAGCAGCAGUAGGGAAUAUUGGACAAUGGGCGAAAGCCUGAUCCAGCAAUGCCGCGUGAGUGAUGAAGCCUUAGGUGUAAAGCUCUUUACCGAGAUGAUAAUGACAGUAUCGGAAGAAUAACGCCCGACUAACUCCGCGCCAGCAACGCCGAC
rnacentral:rRNA from 1 species